rnacentral:lncRNA from 1 species
UUUUCUUUUGCUCGCACACAAUGAACAGUGUCUCAGCAUGUGUAUAAUAGAUGGGAAACAUCAAAAUUGGCAUCCAUUGUGUUCUGCAGCUUCAGAUAUGGAAUGGCCUAUAACCAAAGAACUCAAUUCCCCCACAUAUCCGGCAUACAAGAGAACUACUAAGCAGAAUAAGACCACUACAAGGAGGGAAUGAAAAGCACGCAAACGAAAAUGUACUCCAAACAAGCAGGUAAUGCAGAGACAACAGCACGCAAGGACUGGGUUUGAGAACCCUCUGCUAG